rnacentral:rRNA from 1 species
GAAGGUGACCUGUGAGGGUUGCUGGAGGUAUCAGAAGUGCGAAUGCUGACAUAAGUAACGAUAAAGCGGGUGAAAAGCCCGCUCGCCGGAAGACCAAGGGUUCCUGUCCAACGUUAAUCGGGGCAGGGUGAGUCGACCCCUAAGGCGAGGCCGAAAGGCGUAGUCGAUGGGAAACGGGUUAAUAUUCCCGUACUUGGUGUUACUGCGAAGGGGGGACGGAGAAGGCUAUGUUGGCCGGGCGACGGUUGUCCCGGUUUAAGCGUGUAGGUGUGUGUUCCAGGUAAAUCCGGUUCACUUUAACACUGAGGCGUGACGACGAGGCACUACGGUGCUGAAGCAACAAAUGCCCUGCUUCCAGGAAAAGCCUCUAAGCAUCAGGUAACAUCAAAUCGUACCCCAAACCGACACAGGUGGUCAGGUAGAGAAUACCAAGGCGCUUGAGAGAACUCGGGUGAAGGAACUAGGCAAAAUGGUGCCGUAACUUCGGGAGAAGGCACGCUGACACGUAGGUGAAGUGAUUUACUCAUGGAGCUGAAGUCAGUCGAAGAUACCAGCUGGCUGCAACUGUUUAUUAAAAACACAGCACUGUGCAAACACGAAAGUGGACGUAUACGGUGUGACGCCUGCCCGGUGCCGGAA